CCGGAACAAAGUGGACCUGGGGUGAAAAGCAGACAAGUGUACAGUAUGAACAAGCUCAAUCUCACAAAGGUACGUGGCCAGCUGAGCACACCUGCGCUUCUCAAACAUACCCAUGAAAGAAGAAUGGAGGUGGAUGCACCUUCACCUGCACCGAGUUAGAGACCAGGAGGCUAGAGGACACAGUGGAAGCAGUGCAGGAAACAUCUGCUGAGUGAAUGACUGUGACACAAGUCCUCUGCCAGGAGGCGGGAGACAGAAAACCUUCAUAACGUACUUGGAAGGAAAUUGGAGCAACUCUGUCAGCUGUCACGAGGGGUGUCACUAUGUAGUUCCAACUGGCCUGGACUCACUAUGCAGCCCAGGCUGGCCUUCAACUUGUGGUGAUCCUCUUGCCUUGGCCUCUCAAGUACUGACAUGACAGGUAUUUGUCAUCACGCCUACCUAAUGUUCCUAAUUUUGAAGACAGAAUUUCAGUUAUAUAAUUUAAUUAAAAAUUAAAUAAAAAUUUAAAUUUAAUACUUUAGCCAUGACUACUGAUCCAUCUCCAAAUUCAAAUCCAUGCCAAAAAUGCAGAGAUUUGCCUUUGGUAGAAGAGUCGAAAGAACACCCAGUCAGAUGGGCAUAGAGGUACACCUACAGUAAUCCCACUACUGUGGGAGGCUGAGGCAGGAGGAUCACAAGUUCCAGCCCAGAUUGGACAAAUUAGUAACUUGGCAAGGCCGUGCCUCAAAACAAAAAUUAAAAAGGGCUGUGAAUGUCACUUACUACAAAGGCGGUGGGUUCAACCCUCACCUCCUCAAAAAAAAACCGCUAAAAAUAAAACACACACGGUUGGCUGACAGCGACUUAAAAGGCAGAGAUCAAUGGCAGCAGCAGAGAGGAGCCACCUGGACUGUGACUCAGGCGGAACCAUCCUGAACUGAAAAAGAAGAGGCCUCUGGCUUUACCAACAUACCUUACACCUCCAACAUACCUUACAAAGAAUCACAGCACCGCACGGGUAACAGGAGACACACGUUGGAGGGCUCUGCCACCAACUUCACCUGGUGCACGGGCAGUGCAGUGACUGGGGCAGUGAGAGCAGAGACAGCUGCGAGCCUGG